UACGUAGGCAGCGAGCGUUGUUCGGAGUUACUGGGCGUAAAGGGUGUGUAGGCGGUUGUUUAAGUUUGGUGUGAAAUCUCCCGGCUCAACCGGGAGGGUGCGCCGAAUACUGAAUGACUUGGAGUGCGGGAGAGGAGAGUGGAAUUCCUGGUGUAGCGGUGAAAUGCGUAGAUAUCAGGAGGAACACCGGUGGUGUAGACGGCUCUCUGGACCGUAACUGACGCUGAGACACGAAAGCGUGGGUAGCAAACAGG
rnacentral:rRNA from 1 species